rnacentral:lncRNA from 1 species
UAUUUCACCAGAAAAAAUGAGCACUGCCUGGACAAAUACUAAUUAUCAUUUUGGCCAACCUUAUAUUUUUUGUUAAUAAGAAACAGUAUUUUAGAAUAAACCCACAAUCCAAAAUAUUAGAGAAAUACUAUUGUUUCUGUAACUUUGCAAGAUUUUUUCUGAAGACUUGGGGAUAACAGAAGAGAUUUGAAACUCAGAGAGAAUAAAACUGGAAACUAUAGUCAUUCUCAGUUCAUAAUGCAAGCCCCAGCAACAAGUAUCACCUUUUGUCCCCAGCCUGUGGUCUGCAGCCUGGGUACCUGAAGAUACAGACUUCUCGUUCCCAAAGUUUCUCUCCUCUAAUUGUUUCUCCCCUAUCAGGGGCCCACCCCAGCCACCAAAGAAAAAAAAUGCAAGCCUCUUUGUGAAAAAGAUCCACAGUGUACAAUUUGAUCCCUAGUGAAGACCAUCUUACUGUUAUUUUGCAGAGGGCUUUAGCCUCUUGAUCCUGGGUCUCUUCAUCAUAGAGUGGGAUUUGUGCUUUACAUUUGUCAAGGCAAAAAGGACUUAAAGUGAUUACCCCUGCACAAAACAGUAAUUGCCCUCCCAUGUGGUUUCAACCUUUAGAGAAACAGGUUCCUGACGAAAGUGUCAAAAAUUCUUGGGUUUGUAUUAGUUUCCUAGGACUGCUAUAACAAAGUACCACAAAAUGGGUAA